UGAUGAGGUUUACUUAUCACUAAUCCUUACUUUUUUACAGACAUAUUUUAGUCCAUUGAAUAGAGUUCUCUCUAAAUCUAUUUCUACCAUAUCAUAUGAGAUGUGGCAUAGUAAGAAAUCGAAUCUUGAUCAUUUCAAGAUUUGGGGUUGUCAGUCCAUGUCGAAAGACAACAGGCAGACAAGUUAGAGGCUAGGUUUAUAAAGACUCGCUUUAUGAGAUAUCCUAAAGAGUUAUUAGAAUACU
rnacentral:lncRNA from 1 species